UUGACCUCAAAUCAGGUAGGACUACCCGCUGAACUUAAGCAUAUCAAUAAGCGGAGGAAAAGAAACUAACAAGGAUUCCCUUAGUAACUGCGAGUGAAGUGGGAAAAGCUCAAAUUUAAAAUCUGGCGGUCAUUUGGCUGUCCGAGUUGUAAUCUAGAGAAGUGUUGCCCGUGCUGGACCAUGUACAAGUCUCCUGGAAUGGAGCAUCACAGAGGGUGAGAAUCCUGUCUUUGACAUGGACUACCAGUGCUUUUGUGGUAUGCUCUCAAAGAGUCGAGUUGUUUGGGAAUGCAGCUCAAAAUGGGUGGUAAAUGCCAUCUAAAGCUAAAUAUUGGCGAGAGACCGAUAGCGAACAAGUACCGUGAGGGAAAGAUGAAAAGAACUUUGGAAAGAGAGUUAAACAGUAC
rnacentral:rRNA from 1 species